rnacentral:lncRNA from 1 species
UGGCAACCAUGGGAAUUGAUGAGUGAGAGAGAAUAGGAAGGAGGGAUGUAGAAGGCUUUGAGUGGUUGGAUGUGGUGGAGUUGGGGAAGCAAAGAUGGCUUUUGAGAAUACCUUGUAGAAUUCUGUGAUCGUUAACGGAAAUAGGAUCAGUGCGUCAUCUGGUUUUGAUGGAGGCGAUAUGAUGCAUUGGGCGUUAGAUGUGUAGAGCUUGAGUAGCAUUGGUAUCCCAGAGAAAAGGGAGGACUGAAGAUCCUGAUAGACAACAUCCACAUAGAGUUCAAAGUUAUGAAAACAUCUGAGACUCAGGGCUAAGCACCUUGCCCAAGGCCACACAACAAGUAGGUGAUGGAGAGUGUUGGCGUGUACGGAUUCUGUGGGUGUAAAGCAAAGAACAAAAUGAAGUGUGAUUCAAGGUGGGAAAUAGCCGCUUCAGACCCAAUGGCAGGCUCUGGUGUUUCUGAGCUGUAAAGGGCAUAGUCCCUACACUGUGGGAGCUCCCAUCUGACAGGGAAGGUUGACAGGAUCAGUGUAACCGCAUCCCUGACCAGGUGAUCACAGUGACUGUCUCCUGCACAGAUCUCAAACUCCACGCCUGUCCUCCCACCCCAUCAUGGUCCCUAAAAAUGGCAAAAUUAAUCUCUUUCCCUUUGAUACUCUCACGUCAACAAGUAUGUUGCUGUUCAAGAUGUUUGUCAAAGUACAGAAACU